rnacentral:rRNA from 1 species
UACGUAGGGGGCAAGCGUUGUCCGGAAUGACUGGGCGUAAAGCGCGCGCAGGCGGUCUUUUAAGUCUGAGGUGAAAGGCUGGGGCUCAACCCUGGCAUCGCCUUGGAAACGGGAAGACUUGAGGACUGGAGAGGCAAGGGGAAUUCCACGUGUAGCGGUGAAAUGCGUACAGAUGUGGAGGAAUACCAGUGGCGAAGGCGCCUUGCUGGACAGUGCCUGACGCUGAGGCACGAAGGCGUGGGCAGCAAACAGGAUUAGAUACCCUGGUAGUCCACGCGGUAAACGAUGAGUGCUAGGUGUCGGAGGGUACCACCUCCGGUGCCGAAGGAAACCCAAUAAUCACUCCGCCUGGGGAGUACGGUCGCAAGACUGAAAGUCAAAGGAAUCGACGGGGGCCCGCACAAGCAGUGGAGCAUGUGGUUUAAUUCGAAGCAACGCGAAGAACCUUACCAGGACUUGACAUCCCCCUGACGGGAGUAGAGAUAUUCCGUCCCUUCGGGGCAGGGGAGACAGGUGGUGCAUGGUUGUCGUCAGCUCGUGUCGUGAGAUGUUGGGUUAAGUCCCGCAACGAGCGCAACCCUUGAUCAGUGUUACCAGCACGUAAAGGUGGGGACUCACUGAUGACUGCCGGUGAUAAACCGGAGGAAGGCGGGGAUGACGUCAAAUCAUCAUGCCCCUUAUGUCCUGGGCCACACACGUGCUACAAUGGGCGGUACAACGGGAAGUAAGAGAGCGAUCUGGAGCGAAACCCUAAAAGCCGUUCGUAGUUCGGAUUGCAGGCUGCAACCCGCCUGCAUGAAGCCGGAAUUGCUAGUAAUCGCGGAUCAGCAUGCCGCGGUGAAUCCGUUCCCGGGCCU